GAACGCUGACAGAAUGCUUAACACAUGCAAGUCAACUUGAAUUUGGGUUUUUAACUUAGAUUUGGGUGGCGGACGGGUGAGUAACGCGUAAAGAACUUGCCUCACAGCUAGGGACAACAUUUAGAAAUGAAUGCUAAUACCUGAUAUUAUGAUUUUAAGGCAUCUUAGAAUUAUGAAAGCUAUAAGCACUGUGAGAGAGCUUUGCGUCCCAUUAGCUAGUUGGAGAGGUAACAGCCCACCAAGGCGAUGAUGGGUAGCCGGCCUGAGAGGGUGAACGGCCACAAGGGGACUGAGACACGGCCCUUACUCCUACGGGAGGCAGCAGUGGGGAAUAUUGGACAAUGGACCGAGAGUCUGAUCCAGCAAUUCUGUGUGCACGAUGAAGUUUUUCGGAAUGUAAAGUGCUUUCAGUUGGGAAGAAAGAAAUGACGGUACCAACAGAAGAAGUGACGGCUAAAUACGUGCCAGCAGCCGCGGUAAUACGUAUGUCACGAGCGUUAUCCGGAUUUAUUGGGCGUAAAGCGCGUCUAGGUGGUUAUGUAAGUCUGAUGUGAAAAUGCAGGGCUCAACUCUGUAUUGCGUUGGAAACUGUAUAACUAGAGUACUGGAGAGGUAAGCGGAACUACAAGUGUAGAGGUGAAAUUCGUAGAUAUUUGUAGGAAUGCCGAUGGGGAAGCCAGCUUACUGGACAGAUACUGACGCUAAAGCGCGAAAGCGUG
rnacentral:rRNA from 1 species